GAAUCUCAAAGCUCUUGGCAUCACAUAUCAAUCUGUUUUUAGUCCAAUCAUAGGUCACAACCAUUCACAAGGCAACAGAGAGUAUUUAUGGCUAGACUGGCUCAGGCUCCAUGAGCCUACUCUAAGUAUCCAGAUGGAAAAUGUUUACAUCCCAUCAUUUUAUACACCCCUCAGGAUCACCUUGUCUAUUAGACACAUUACUCAAGGUACAGUAAAUAAUCUCCAUUAUAAAUCUCUGUGCAUGAUGAUAUAAAAUCACAGUGAUAUGCUUUCAGAGGGUGGAAAUAAUUUGUUCCAUACCAUCCUCAUAUCUAUCCUCAUGUGCAAAGGAGGCCAGCAUCCUGUCAAAUUGAGAUCUUGUUAUCUGUGAUCUGUUUGUUUUCAGUCUUAUAACAUGGCAAAAGCACAACCAUCAGAAUAAGAAGGAAAAAUGCACAAGCAUCUAUAUGUAAUGAAUACUAAAAAAAAAAAAGUACAUAGUUUUGACUA